UUCCCUGGCCCUCCUCAAACCCUCCCUGCACACGGAGGGGUCCUGGCAGCUACCAAAUGCUCCCACUGAGCCAGGCCCUGGGCUAAAUCAGCACUUUCCACAGACUGGCUCCAGGAGGCAGGGAGCAUGGUUGCAGACGUGGAAGUGAGCCCAAAGACGUGAAGUGAGCUGCCCAAGGUCACACAGCUGGCAAGGGCCAGAGACCAGACUUCCAACCCGGUUAGGACUCCACAUCGCUAAACCCUGUACCUUCACUUGCCUCUACAGAAAGAAAAGAAAAGCAUAUGCCAAUUGGAACUGAGGCCCACUUCAGGCACGGUGACAGAAGGGCUCACCUUCAGAAGAAGGAGUCAUGUUACAGCCGCAGAGAGGCAGUUAGGACGCCCUACCUUGGAGAAGAGUCCCCUGGAAGCAGCAGAACUGUGCAGUGGUUGAGUGUGUGGCUGCUGGCAUCAGACUGUCUGGGUGUGAAUCCAGCCACCCCACUUGCCAACUGGGUGGUCUUGUUUGAGGUAUGAAAUUCUCUGUGCCUUGAUUUUCUCAUCUGUACAAUGGGAGCCAUCAUAACACCUACCUGGAAACAUUGGAUGGACCAUUCCUAUCAAGA